rnacentral:misc_RNA from 1 species
UUGCAGACAGAACCCUGCGCACUUCUGGUUGGGUAACAACGUGUACAGUUCAUAAGCUUAUACAUAAUCCUGAAGAAAAUGUUUCAAACUGUUGAGCGUGCCAACCAACCAUGUUACUCGUAAUCCUGUAACAUUUCUUGUUGAAAAACACGUGCAUAUAGCUAUUCAAAAACUCAGCAUAUCAUCAAAAGUUCCCACCAAUUUUCUGAGAUAUUUAUUCUGGGUUUGU